UCCUACGGGGGGCAGCAGUGAGGAAUAUUGGUCAAUGGUCGGGAGACUGAACCAGCCAAGCCGCGUGAGGGAUGAAGGUACAGAGUAUCGUAAACCUCUUUUGUCAGGGAACAAAGGCGGGGACGUGUCCCCGGAUGAGUGUACCUGAAGAAAAAGCAUCGGCUAACUCCGUGCCAGCAGCCGCGGUAAUACGUAGGGGGCAAGCGUUAUCCGGAAUCACUGGGUGUAAAGGGAGCGUAGACGGCUGUGCAAGCCUGAAGUGAAAGGCGGGGGCCCAACCCCUGGACUGCUUUGGGAACUGUACG
rnacentral:rRNA from 1 species